GUAAUAAGGGUUUGUGGGUGCAUGCGAUGGAGGCCGAAGGAUGUUAUACUUCAGUGCCCCAAAUGGGUAUUCAAUCAUCUACUCUCUCAUGUCCUUUCAUUCUCAUCUUUGUCACUGUUUUUCUUACUGUUUGAUCCAGGAUGAAGUUCUUUCUAAGCAUUGUGUAUUUUAAAUGAUGGGUUCUCUUUUAUUCAAUCCCUUUGGAAUUUGAAUGGGGAGCUGCCAUUGUUUGUAUGUAUUUUGAGGUUACAGUUCUUUAUUCAAGUGAAAUCCCAUAUCGGUUGGGGAGGAGAACGAAACAUUCUUGAUAAGGGCGUGAAAACUUAUGGCAUAUGCAUUUUAGAAACCUUGAGGGGAAGCCCGAAGAAGACAAUAUCUGCUAGCUGGGGCAAUGUGACAGUAAAGAGGUUGAGCCCUGAAGGAGGUGGACACGAGGCGGUGUGCCAACAAGGAUGCUGACUCCUUGAAUUGGGGGGUCUUACAUCGAUUGAAGAAGGAAAUGAGUACCAAUAAGGAUGCUGGAGCUCGAGGAGGAUAAAUUUGUUAGAUUAUUGUCAUGUCUAAUCCUGGUUUACUUUAUGAACUGUUUGCUUUGUUGCUACUAUUUUGGGGUGCUUGUUACUUUCAUUGGCAGAGCCAAUUUAUCGAAAUUCUCAUAUUCCUUGUUUUACUGCUAUGAAAGUAUUGAAUAACUUUAUGAAAUUCUUUAUGCAACCCAACCGUGGAGAAAAUGCUCUCUCAUCUUAUCAACAAUCUACUGUAGAGGACUAAAUGUGUAGUUGAUUUUCAUCUUAUCAACAAUUUACUUUGAAUGUUGUCUAUAAGUCUGGAUUGAAGAUCUUUCUGGGCAGGAAACUUGUCGUAGCGACUCGACACGAUGUAACACGUCACCUCUUCAAAAGUGAGAACACAAAGAUGAGGUUCAUUGAUAAAGCUUGUCUGCUAAGGAAAGUGUCUUCCAGCUAAGUCCCCAAGACGUAAUGUAGAUGAAUAUCAAUCAAAGUGAGGCAAUCCAAGAUGAACUUUACCAGAGUCAUCAAAAUUGACCAAUAUGAACAUAUGAAGAGUGGAACAUUUUAAAUUCUUCAUAUCACAGUCCCUGACGUGAAGUGGAGUUAAUAGAAAAAUGUUGAAAGUAGGGUCCCAACCUCCUUUUGCUGUCGUCUUAGAAUAUGAACACAAGGGUAGUAAGAUUGCAGCCACAUCUUUACAGGUCCGUGGUCGGUCAGUUUGGAAUGGUGAAGACUUCAAGUGAUGAAAAUCAAGCUGAAUCUCUCUCUUUGAAUUCUGGGAAAUCCAUACCUUUCAAAAAAGUAUAUAUAUAUAUAUUUUUUUAUGUUCUUGAGUAGAAAUUUACGAUGAUACACAUAUAUCUUAAUCAGUUGAUCUGUGUUUGCCUUGACAAUUAGAAAUAUGUACAUGUUAGAUUGGGUCGGGUUAAAGGUAUUUUAGAGUCAAUAUCUUUGGGUUGGUUGGUUCUUUGGUCCGACUCAUCUGAUUAAAGAUGACAAUC